UACGGAGGGUGCAAGCGUUAAUCGGAAUUACUGGGCGUAAAGCGCACGUAGUCGGCUUUGCAAGUCGGGUGUGAAAUCCCCGGGCUCAACCUGGGAACUGCAUCCGAGACUGCAUUGCUAGAGUAUGGGAGAGGGAAGCGGAAUUUCUGGUGUAGCAGUGAAAUGCGUAGAUAUCAGAAGGAACAUCAGUGGCGAAGGCGGCUUCCUGGACCAAUACUGACGAUCAGGUGCGAAAGCGUGGGGAGCAAACAGG
rnacentral:rRNA from 1 species